CAAUCCAAAAGACCUGGACUGUGGCAUUGCACGCUUCGCCGACGACGAAAUGAAAUGCUAAAUUAUGGCACUUAACCGCUUGAAAAUCGUCUUGGCUCGAGGUGUGAACGUCCUGUUUUGGCCACCACGCGGCGUAUGAUGAAUAUCAUGAGCAAUGCCUAAUCAACUGCAAAUGAAAUGGACAAUUGCCACCGAAUGACCUGGGUGAAGUUCAGUGGGAGUAUCUGUAUCUGAAUCUCGCGUAUCUGUGCGCUGCAUUUUUAUGGGGCCAAAAGACACAGCAUUUGCAUUACUGGCCCGUCGAGUCAGCGACCUGCAGCUUAAUAAAGACUAAUUGACUUUCUGACCAUUAAAGGGGGCGGUGAAAAAAAAAUCGUUAAGGGAGGGGCGUGGCCCGACCAGAUGAUUGGCAAUUACGGCAAAGACAGCGCACCGGCUUGACAAAACGCGAUAAACGAAUUAACAUUUAAAUUAAUUUAUGUCCCCCAGUGCUGGCACUGUAUUUGUCAUGAGCGGCGACAAAUUUGAAAUUUCUGCAAACCCAACAUGUCCGACACAAAGUGAGGGCCUUCACAAGUUGCAUGCCAAAUUUAUGCAAAUGAAGGCAGCCUCCGCCUGCAACUUUUGGGAUGGGUGUGUCCUUGGUUGGCGGCGACAGUCGCUGCAUCUAAUUAGCCCAAGUAAAUUACAAGACAAACCGGCGAUGUCCAGGGAGUUAAGCUUGAAAACUCCACUCCACUCCGGCGAUUGUUACAGAUUGCAGUGCCGUAAAUUGAAUAAGCCACUGAAUGAGAUGACUGCAGUUGGUGGAUAAACCUCCUUAGCCGGUUUAAUUCCCCGGAAGUCUGCUUUAGCACCAGCAAGCAAGGAUCAU